rnacentral:rRNA from 1 species
UACGAGGGGGGCGAGCGUUGUUCGGAAUUACUGGGCGUAAAGCGCGCGUAGGCGGACCUGCAAGUCGGGGGUGAAAGCCCGAGGCUCAACCUCGGAACUGCCUUCGAUACUGCGGGUCUCGAGUCCGGGAGAGGUGAGUGGAAUUCCUAGUGUAGAGGUGAAAUUCGUAGAUAUUAGGAAGAACACCAGUGGCGAAGGCGGCUCACUGGCCCGGUACUGACGCUGAGGCGCGAAAGCGUGGGGAGCAAACAGG